rnacentral:rRNA from 1 species
AGGGAAUCUUCCACAAUGGACGAAAGUCUGAUGGAGCAACGCCGCGUGAGCGAAGAAGGUCUUCGGAUCGUAAAGCUCUGUUGUUAGGGAAGAACAAGUACCGGAGUAACUGUCGGUACCUUGACGGUACCUAACCAGAAAGCCACGGCUAACUACGUGCCAGCAGCCGCGGUAAUACGUAGGUGGCAAGCGUUGUCCGGAAUCAUUGGGCGUAAAGCGCGCGCAGGCGGUCCUUUAAGUCUGAUGUGAAAUCUUGCGGCUCAACCGUAAGCGGUCAUUGGAAACUGGGGGACUUGAGUGCAGGAGAGGAAAGCGGAAUUCCAUGUGUAGCGGUGAAAUGCGUAGAGAUAUGGAGGAACACCAGUGGCGAAGGCGGCUUUCUGGCCUGUAACUGACGCUGAGGCGCGAAAGCGUGGGGAGCAAAC